GAUGAACGCUGGCGGCGUGCCUAAUACAUGCAAGUCGAGCGAAUGGAUUAAGAGCUUGCUCUUAUGAAGUUAGCGGCGGACGGGUGAGUAACACGUGGGUAACCUGCCCAUAAGACUGGGAUAACUCCGGGAAACCGGGGCUAAUACCGGAUAAUAUUUUGAACUGCAUGGUUCAAAAUUGAAAGGCGGCUUCGGCUGUCACUUAUGGAUGGACCCGCGUCGCAUUAGCUAGUUGGUGAGGUAACGGCUCACCAAGGCAAAGAUGCGUAGCCGACCUGAGAGGGUGGUCGGACACACUGGGACUGAGACACGGCCCAGACGCCUACGGGAGGCAGCAGUAGGGAAUCUUCCGCAAUGGACGAAAGUCUGACGGAGCAACGCCGCGUGAGUGAUGAAGGCUUUCGGGUCGUAAAACUCUGUUGUUAGGGAAGAACAAGUGCUAGUUGAAUAAGCUGGCACCUUGACGGUACCUAACCAGAAAGCCACGGCUAACUACGUGCCAGCCGCCGCGGUAA
rnacentral:rRNA from 1 species